GGGUGCUUGAGGCUGUCUGCCUUAAGCGCUUGCUGACAGGUAGAUAGAUAAAAGCCCCACCCGACUAUAAAUCGAAGUGAGGCCCCUAUAUGCUCGUCACAUAUAGAUUGCCUCUUACGGACCGAAAGGUCAAGGAGAAGCAGGCUAUG
rnacentral:antisense_RNA from 1 species